rnacentral:rRNA from 1 species
UACCAGCACCCCGAGUGGUCGGGACGUUUAUUGGGCCUAAAGCAUCCGUAGCCGGUUCUACAAGUCUUCCGUUAAAUCCACCUGCUUAACAGAUGGGCUGCGGAAGAUACUAUAGAGCUAGGAGGCGGGAGAGGCAAGCGGUACUCGAUGGGUAGGGGUAAAAUCCGUUGAUCCAUUGAAGACCACCAGUGGCGAAGGCGGCUUGCCAGAACGCGCUCGACGGUGAGGGAUGAAAGCUGGAGGAGCAAACCGG